AGCAUCACUUCUACAUUCCUCAGUUUAAAAUCAUGUAAUAUCUUGAGCAGUAAAACUAGAAAGAGAUUUUUUCCUAAUAGGUGAAAUUUAGCUGUCUUUCGGACAGUGGAUAUGGAAAUAUCAUUUAUGAUUAUUUCAGAUGGGAGAUAUUCUUGGUCCUGGUGAAUUCCAUAGCAGGAAUUUAAAACAGGACUCUUUGUUGUGUCUGCUUGGAUCACUUACAGCCCUUGGUACCUGCCUCUUUGGAAGGCACCUCCGGUCACAUCAGGAGCAUGGAUGGGGCCCCACCUGCAUACACAUGGAGAUGGACUCAUCCUCCAGCUACUUUGGAUACCGUGGCUCCCAUUUUUCUACUUUCUCUGAAGGAUUGAAGCCACCUUGCCCAGAAGUCACUGGGAGUUAUGCCUCCUCCCUAAGGAUGGCCCACAGCCAGUGCCUCAUUGGAGCAAGAGGUACAGAAGCCCUGCUCCCUCAUCUGAAGAUGGGGCAGGCUCCGCAGUGCAAUCCAUGCACCCGAGCUCCCAUGGCAUCAGACUGACAUUGCUGGAAGCCACAGUCUUCCUCAGCUUCUCCUUCCCUGUCCUGCUUCCCUCACUCCCUUAUGGUUUUCUCCUGAGGGCACUCCCUUAAUAAAUCACUUGCGUCAAGAAUCCACA
rnacentral:lncRNA from 1 species